AGCUAAAAAAGAGAGGGAAUACUGGACUUGGAUUCAUCAGGGGGACACAAACACGACUCCGGAUGAAGGACGAUGUUGCUCUGGAACUGCUGGAUGUGGAAAUAAGCAGCUGUUUGCUAACAAGUUCAACAUAUCAACUUAAAAGUAACGUAGAAAAACCAUGGUGAAGGAGAGUCUGCCCGGCUGGGUCCACCAGGACUCUGACGAGGGACUCGUCCACGUGAACGUCGGGGGUCUGAAGAGGAGCCUCUGCUCCAGCACGCUGAAGAAAUUCCCGGACACCAGACUGGGAAAACUGCUGGCAUGUGACUCUGAGGAAGAUAUACUGCAGGUCUGCGAUGAUUACGACGUGCAGCAGAAGGAGUUUUAUUUUGAUAGGAACCCGAGCCUGUUCCCAUAUGUCCUCCACUUCUACCAGACCGGCAAACUUCACAUCAUGGAGGAGCUGUGCGUCUUCUCCUUCAGUCAGGAGAUAGAGUACUGGGGCAUCAAUGAGUUCUUCCUGGACAGUUGCUGCAGUUACCGUUACCACGACCGCAAGCUGGAGAGCAGCCGCCAUCACAGCUGGGACGACGAGAGCGACGUCAGCAGCAUAGACACAUCUGUGGACGAGAUAUCUGACUUGAACAGAGACAUGCAGCAUUUCCAGGAGGUGCGCUACGGGAACAUCAGGAAGUGUCUGUGGCUGACGCUGGAGAACCCGGGAUACUCCAUCCCCAGCAAGCUCUUCAGCCUGCUCUCCAUCGGAGUGGUGCUCACGUCCAUCGCCAGCAUGUGUAUCAACAGCAUCCCAGAGUAUCAGACGUUUGACUCUGAAGGGAAGCUGAUCGAGGACCCGAGCAUGCAGGCUGUGGAGGUGUUCUGCUCCUGCUGGUUCACCUUCGAGGUGGUGACGCGACUGCUGCUCGCACCGAACAGGAAGAAGUUCUUUCAUCACCCUCUGAACAUCAUUGACAUUGUGUCUGUGGUUCCCAUCUACAUCACCCUGAUCUUCGACAUGACUGUGGGAUCCGAGUCUGAACUGGGAGACCUGGGACGACUCAUACAGGUGUUCAGGCUGAUGCGGAUCUUCAGAGUUCUGAAGUUGGCCCGACACUCGACAGGACUUCGGUCACUGGGAGCGACGCUUCGGCACAGUUACCGUGAGGUGGGCAUACUGCUGCUGUACCUGGCUGUCGGCGUGUCCGUCUUCUCCGGCAUUGCUUACACCGCUGAAUACGAAGAGGACGUGGGUCUGGACACCAUCCCGGCCUGCUGGUGGUGGGGGACGGUGAGCAUGACCACAGUCGGUUACGGGGACGUGGUGCCCGUCACGGUGGCCGGGAAGCUGGCAGCCAGCGGCUGCAUUUUGGGUGGCACGCUGGUGGUGGCGCUGCCCAUCACCAUCAUCUUCAACAAGUUCUCCCACUUCUACCGCCGGCAGAAGGCUCUGGAGGCGUCGGUGAGGAACAACAACCGCAGGAAGAUGAGGAUGAGCUGUGAGAGCGAGCCGCGGGAGGACGAGGAGGACGAGGAAGACGAGGAGGAGGGAUCGGACGAGGACAGCCGGUGUCUGGACGAUGAUGAUACCGAUGAUAUCGAGGAGGACGAUAUAGAUUAUGAGGAUGAAGGAGGCGUCAUCAAUUACAGCUACGUGGAGCACCCGUCCUACACGUCAAUACUGAGGAGGAAGGGGCUGCACCAGCUGUGAGGAUCGGCUCGGCCUCGGAGCCGCCACAGUCCGCGUUCACACUGGAGGCUAAACCCGCUCAGACUCAGAGUUUCCCUCUGAGUGGGGCACAGAUCGGAUGUGUCUGAUGUGUUCGGUUCUGAUCGCGACUGUGACUCGCAUCUGAUCCAAGGCCGCACGAAUGCUGCUGCGAACUGUCAAAAAGGAUUCACGCGAGACCUGCUGUCCCUCCACGACCGGUCACUGUCGGAAAACUCUGCAGCAAUUCCAACAAACAUGGAGGACAACAAAUCCAGAAGGCCGCAGUGUGAUUAGAGUUUGAGUAGGUGCCUCUAGAAAACUGAAGUCACAGGGGCCACAUUGCAAAUCACAAAAUCGGGGUCUGGACUCUGACUCUGUGGGUCUUCCAUGACGGACUCUUCUGACCUGCCGUACUGUAGUUUCUUCUCAUUCAUUUUGUGCAUGUGGGCUGUUUCAGGCAGGAGACAGAACUCUUGACACGGAGAAGAGGGA